GACGAACGCUGGCGGCGUGCCUAAUACAUGCAAGUUGAGCGCUGAAGGUUGGUACUUGUACCAACUGGAUGAGCAGCGAACGGGUGAGUAACGCGUGGGGAAUCUGCCUUUGAGCGGGGGACAACAUUUGGAAACGAAUGCUAAUACCGCAUAAAAACUUUAAACACAAGUUUUAAGUUUGAAAGAUGCAAUUGCAACACUCAAAGAUGAUCCCGCGUUGUAUUAGCUAGUUGGUGAGGUAAAGGCUCACCAAGGCGAUGAUACAUAGCCGACCUGAGAGGGUGAUCGGCCACAUUGGGACUGAGACACGGCCCAAACUCCUACGGGAGGCAGCAGUAGGGAAUCUUCGGCAAUGGACGAAAGUCUGACCGAGCAACGCCGCGUGAGUGAAGAAGGUUUUCGGAUCGUAAAACUCUGUUGGUAGAGAAGAACGUUGGUGAGGGUGGAAAGCUCAUCAAGUGACGGUAACUACCCAGAAAGGGACGGCUAACUACGUG
rnacentral:rRNA from 1 species